CGUUGUUGUCGUCACUGUCGUCAUCUUUGUUGUUUUUGUUGUUACCGUUGUUGUCGCUGUUGUCAUUGUUGUUGAUGUUGUCGUUGUUGUUCUUGUUUCCUUAGUUGUCAUUGUUCUCAUCGUUGUGGUCGUUGUCGUUCUUGUCUUCAUUGUCAUCGUUAUUGUUGUCGUCGUUAUUGUUGUUGUCGUUGUGGUGGUGGUGGUGGUGUUGGUUGUUCUUAUUAUUGUUUUUGUUGUUAUUGUCAUUAUCGUUGUUGUCGACCUUGUCGUCAUCGUUGUCAUCAUCGUCGACAUCGUUG
rnacentral:lncRNA from 1 species